CAAUAGCGUAUAUUAAAGUUGUUGCAGUUAGAACGCUCGUAGUCGGAUUUCGGGGCGGGCCGACCGGUCUGCCGAUGGGUACGCACUGGUCGGCGCGUCCUUCCUUCCGGAGACCGUGCCUACUCUUAACUGAGCGGGGACGGGAGACGGAUCGUUUACUUUGAAAAAAUCAGAGUGUUUCAAGCAGGCAGCUCGCUCUUGCAUGGAUUAGCAUGGGAUAAUGAAAUAGGACUUUGGUGCUAUUUUGUUGGUUUCGAACACCGAAGUAAUGAUUAACAGGGACAGUCAGGGGCACUCGUAUUCCGCCGAGAGAGGUGAAAUUCUCAGACCAGCGGAAGACGAACUACUGCGAAAGCAUUUGCCAGGGAUGUUUUCACUGA
rnacentral:rRNA from 1 species